UAGGUAGUGCCUCAUGUAUUACCAUUGGGGGUAGAGCACUGUUUCGGCUAGGGGGUCAUCCCGACUUACCAAACCGAUGCAAACUCCGAAUACCAAUGAGUACGAGCAUGGGAGACAGACUGCGGGUGCUAACGUCCGUAGUCGAGAGGGAAACAACCCAGACCGUCAGCUAAGGUCCCAAAUUAUGAUUAAGUGGGAAACAAUGUGGGAAGGCACAAACAGCUAGGAGGUUGGCUUAGAAGCAGCCAUCCUUUAAAGAAAGCGUAAUAGCUCACUAGUCGAGUCGGCCUGCGUGGAAGAUAUAACGGGGCUAAAUCAUAAACCGAAGCUACGGAUCUUAAAUUUAUUUAAGAUGGUAGAAGAGCGUUCUGUAAGCGGUUGAAGGUAAGCUGUAAGGCGAACUGGACGUAUCAGAAGUGCGAAUGUUGACAUGAGUAACGAUCAAAGAGGUGAAAAACCUCUUCGCCGAAAAUCCAAGGUUUCCUGUCCAACGCUAAUCGUGGCAGGGUGAGUCGGCUCCUAAGGCGAGGGCGAAAGCCGUAGUCGAUGGAAAACAGGUUAAUAUUCCUGUACUUCUUAUAAUUGCGAUGGGGUGACGGAGAAGGUUAGGCUAGCACGGCGACGGUUGUCCGUGUUCAAGGUUGUAGACUGAGAUUCUAGGUAAAUCCGGAAUCUCUUAAGGUCAAGAACUGAUAACGACCACUCUUUUGAGUGGGAAGUAGUCGAUACCAUGCUUCCAGGAAAAACCUCUAAGCUUCAGAUUAUAAGAAACCGUACCCCAAACCGACACAGGUGGAUAAGUCGAGAAGACUAAGGUGUUUGAGAGAACUAUGGUGAAGGAACUAGGCAAAAUGGUACCGUAACUUCGGGAGAAGGUACGCCACCAUUGGUGAUGAGACUUGCUCUUUAAGCUGAUGGUGGUCGAAGAUACUAGGUGGCUGCGACUGUUUAUUAAAAACAUAGCACUCUGCAAAAUCGUAAGAUGACGUAUAGGGUGUGACGCCUGCCCGGUGCCGGAAGGUUAAUUGAUGGGGUUAGCUUCGGCGAAGCUCCUGAUCGAAGCCCCGGUAAACGGCGGCCGUAACUAUAACGGUCCUAAGGUAGCGAAAUUCCUUGUCGGGUAAGUUCCGACCUGCACGAAUGGCGUAACGAUGGCCACACUGUCUCCACCAUAGACUCAGUGAAAUUGAAAUCGCUGUUAAGAUGCAGUGUUCCCGCAGCUAGACGGAAAGACCCCGUGCACCUUUACUAUAGGUUCACACUGGACUUUGACUUUAUUUGUGUAGGAUAGGUGGGAGACUUUGAAACUGAGACGCUAGUCUUAGUGGAGUCGUCCUUGAAAUACCACCCUUGUAAAGUUGAGGCUCUAACUCAGGUCCAUUAUCUGGAUCGAGGACAGUGUGUGCUGGGUAGUUUGACUGGGGCGGUCUCCUCCCAAAGAGUAACGGAGGAGUACGAAGGUAUCCUAAGCAUGGUCGGACAUCAUGCAGAUAGUAUAAAGGCAUAAGGAUGCUUGACUGCGAGACUGACGGGUCGAGCAGGUAGGAAACUAGGUCUUAGUGAUCCGGUGGUUCUGAAUGGAAGGGCCAUCGCUCAACGGAUAAAAGGUACGCCGGGGAUAACAGGCUGAUACCCCCCAAGAGUUCACAUCGACGGGGGUGUUUGGCACCUCGAUGUCGGCUCAUCACAUCCUGGGGCUGGAGCAGGUCCCAAGGGUAUGGCUGUUCGCCAUUUAAAGUGGUACGCGAGCUGGGUUUAGAACGUCGUGAGACAGUUCGGUCCCUAUCUGCUGUGGGCGUUGGAGAUUUGAGGGAAGCUGAUUCUAGUACGAGAGGACCGAAUUGGACGAACCUCUGGUGUUCCGGUUGUCACGCCAGUGGCAUUGCCGGGUAGCUAUGUUCGGAAGGGAUAACCGCUGAAAGCAUCUAAGCGGGAAGCCUCUCCCAAGAUUAGAUCUCCCAUAGACUUCGGUCUACUAAAGAGUCGUCAUA
rnacentral:rRNA from 1 species